AUAUGCAAAGCAUGCAUCAGCCACAUCCAUGCUAUCUCCUAAAGCAGUCAUUCUGAAACCCAAUCUGGGGACAGUGCAGACUAAAUAAAAUUUCAUUUUGAUUUGGCCUCCCGCUGCGAAUGGGACUGCUUUGUCUCAGCCGACAGAACCAGCAAGCCAGAAAGGGAAUGAAGACAUUUGGAGAAGAAGCGUUUACUGAAAGGAGAUUCCUGGGCUGGAGGAAAACCAUGAUCUACAGUUCAUGUUGACAGAUAUUGUAUUUUUGGUCCUAGAUCUGACUUUUGAAAUGACUUAUCACAAAUUCAAAUUUAGCAAUCAUGAGUGAAGUACCCACGAUGUGCUAAGCAUCUACCUCUGCAGAUAGAAGAACACUUACUGUUCCUGAGCAUGGGAGGGAAUAGAAGUUCCUGGGUCCUGGCCUCACCUCAUCAGACGAGGGAACUGAGCUGUCAAAACUAAGUGACUUGAUUGAGGCCAUGCAGCUGGCGAGGGGAGGACCAGGAUCUGAACCCAACUGGGUCUCCCAAGCCUGGGCCACUGAACCAUUUCACCUCUUGGAAAAACUUAAUGGUCAGAGUGGCCCACCCAGUCCAUGGACAGCAUGGAGGAUAAACUGCUUCCCUAGAAAUCCUCUCCAGCAUUCUUGCCACCACGACUUUGGGACACAUUGACCAUGAGGAGGAGCUGGUCAAUGAUGGACAGGAGUCCAGAUUAGCAGAGAUGUGGUAAUAAGGACACCGAUGCCUAAAUACUUGAAAUAUCCAAUAGGAAGCAUUCCACCUUUGUGCAAAUGCGAACCACAUCUCACCAAGUUCAGGCCAAGGCUGCCACCGGUGACGUUUUGGAAAAGAAAAAAAAAAGCGGGGGGAGAGGAGAGAAACAGAGAAGCAAGGAAUGCAGAAGAGAGCAGAGGCCACAAAAACAGCAGCAACGUGUCCUGUGUAUUCUGUUUCCUUGUAAAACUAUGAAGCAUGUUAAGGAGAUACUUCAUUUUUUGAGGAUUCAUACUCUUGUUUAUAUUAUAAUAAAAACAACCCAUGUUCUUUCUAAAAAUUUAGGCAAUGCCUUCGUGCACAUAAAAGUAAAACAAAAUCACCUGUAAUCCUACCACACGCAGAUCAGCACUUGCUAAUCUUUUCACAGGGAUCCUAAGAAUAUCCUAUUCUCUAUAGAAUAUAGUUGAUUUAUGUUACCUAAUAACUAACUGUUAACCAUUUUAAAAUUCUUCAGUUUUACAUUAUGCUAGAAAAAAGGAGCCGUCACUCUACGUGACAUUUCUGUAUAUUGGUUUAUUCAUUCAAUAAACAUUUUUUAAGUACCUACUAU
rnacentral:lncRNA from 1 species